GGUAGUCCACGCCGUAAACGAUGAGUGCUAGGUGUUAGGGGGUUUCCGCCCCUUAGUGGUGAAGUUAACGCAUUAAGCACUCCGCGUGGGGAGUACGGCCGCAAGGCUGAAACUCAAAAGAAUUGGCGGGGGCCCGCACAAGCGGUGGAGCAUGUGGUUUAAUUCGAAGCAACGCGAAGAACCUUACCAGGUCUUGACAUCCGCUGACAAUCUUGGAGACAAGACGUUCCUUUGGGGGACAGCGUGACAGGUGGUGCAUGGUUGUCGUCAGCUCGUGUCGUGAGAUGUUGGGUUAAGUCCCGCAACGAGCGCAACCCUUGA
rnacentral:rRNA from 1 species